GGCAGCAGGGGCGUCCGCCGGCGGCUCUGACACCCCGGGAGGGGGCGGUGAGCUGGCCGCUCCGGGGACAAGGAGGGAGCAGAGUCGGGCUGCAAGCAGAGAUGGGGUCCCUCUGAUCCUCCCGCCCGGGCCGCGGCCCUUACCUGGAGCUCCGUGAGCAGAAUCUCCCCCCGUUCGGGAUUGGACGCCAUUGCGCUCCGCUGUGGACUCCGCACCUGGACGCGGCCGCCACUGGCGAAGGGAGAAGGCGGGACGGGACCCGGGGAGGCGGGUGUGGAGCCGGGAAAGAAAGACAAAAACUAGGGAUUCAUGGAGGCGCAGCCCCUGCUGGAGGCGCGGCUUAUUUCGCCCAGUUCAUGAAGAGCUGCGGGGAGCUAGGGCACUCGUAGCGGGCUCCCCCUCGCCGCCCGGCCGCCGCAGCCGCCGCCUCCCGCCCGCCCGCGCGGGACUCUGUUCGCUCAAUCGCUCCCUCUGGGCGACGCCAGGAGCCGCCUCAAGCCUUUCGAAAUUUUCAGGAUAACUGUCAGCGAGGGACUCCCUGUCCCUUGGAAAAUUAGAUUAACAAGCAAAAAUCCUGGUCCUUUCCUGGGCUAUUACAGUUUGACUGUACUCAACUUCUUCUGAUUCUCAACCCUUCUUCCAAAGAAGAUUGUUUGGAAAUUUCUCCCCAAAACACAUGCUCUCCUGAAAGGGAUGCCAAAAACCACCAUUUUUCAA